UCCGAUAUGGUGUAGUGGCUAACAUCGGCGUCUCUCACACGCCAGCCAGGGGUUCGAUUCCCCUUAUCGGAG
rfam:Aspergillus zonatus CBS 506.65 unplaced genomic scaffold ASPZOscaffold_2, whole genome shotgun sequence.